GACGUAGGGCGCGAGCGUUGUCCGGAUUUAUUGGGCGUAAAGAGCUCGUAGGCGGUUUGUCGCGUCUGCCGUGAAAGUCCGGGGCUCAACUCCGGAUCUGCGGUGGGUACGGGCAGACUAGAGUGAUGUAGGGGAGACUGGAAUUCCUGGUGUAGCGGUGAAAUGCGCAGAUAUCAGGAGGAACACCGGUGGCGAAGGCGGGUCUCUGGGCAACAACUGACGCUGAGGAGCGAAAGCGUGGGGAGCGAACAGG
rnacentral:rRNA from 1 species